rnacentral:rRNA from 1 species
UGAGCAAUCUGCCCUUCUCAUCGGAAUAAGCGUUGGAAACGACGUCUAAUGCCGAAUACGACCUCCUUUCGCAUGAUCGGAGGUGGAAAACUCCGGCGGAGAAGGAUGAGAUCGCGGCCUAUCAGCUAGUUGGUGUGGGUAAUGGCCCACCAAGGCGACGACGGGUAGCCGGCCUGAGAGGGUGACCGGCCACACUGGGACUGAGACACGGCCCAGACUCCUACGGGAGNAG